rnacentral:rRNA from 1 species
GACGAACGCUGGCGGCGUGCUUAACACAUGCAAGUCGAACGGAAAGGCCCUGCUUUUGUGGGGUGCUCGAGUGGCGAACGGGUGAGUAACACGUGAGUAACCUGCCCUUGACUUUGGGAUAACUUCAGGAAACGGGGGCUAAUACCGGAUAGGAGCUCCUGCUGCAUGGUGGGGGAUGGAAAGUUUCGGCGGUUGGGGAUGGACUCGCGGCUUAUCAGCUUGUUGGUGGGGUAGUGGCUUACCAAGGCUUUGACGGGUAGCCGGCCUGAGAGGGUGACCGGCCACAUUGGGCCUGGGAUACGGCCCAGACUCCUCCGGGAGGCAGCAGUGGGGAAUAUUGCACAAUGGGCGGAAGCCUGAUGCAGCAACGCCGCGUGCGGGAUGACGGCCUUCGGGUUGUAAACCGCUUUCGCCUGUGACGAAGCGUGAGUGACGGUAAUGGGUAAAGAAGCACCGGCUAACUACGUG